rnacentral:lncRNA from 1 species
CGGACAGGCGCUGUGCAUCUCAGUGUGUCCUCACAGUCACCCUCGGAGCCAGGGAGCCACGUGGACUUCACCUGGAGCUCCCCGGAGCCUUCCAGAGCUCCCAGAAGAUCAGAGUGUUGGAGCUGGAAGGUCCCUGAGUGGUCCCCAUGUGAUGGGGGAGGAAACUGAAGCGCAGAGAGGUGUGACCAGGCCUGCCUUCCUCCAUGCACUCCCUGCUGGGCACGUCUGCCAGGCUAGGCCGUGCCCUCCACCUGCACCUUUGGGGGUGACCCUGGGCAGGCCUCUCCCCUUUUGGCCUCAGUUUCCUCACUUGUCAGAUGAUGGCUCCCCUCCAGGUAUCUCUGAGGCCUCUCCCAGCUGGAAAACCUCCUUCUGAGUUAGGGCCUCCACUCCAUCCCGUCAGUCCUGGGUUCCCAUGAGGCCUCAUCCCUCCAGAAGCACCGGCCCAGUGACAGGGCCAGUGGCGGGUGUCUGGGGACCCCCAGGAAGAGGAGGGACUUUCUGGCCAGAGAAGCGGGGACCAGCCUGGGUAGGGGCAAAGCAGCUUCCCCCUGUGGCCUCCCUCAGACCACACCACCAGGUGUCCCUUGGUCCCCACAGGCAGGGGUUCCUGAAAAGUCGAUGUCUCUCCAGUGGGUGCAGCCUCUGACGUGUGUUUGCCUGUGUGAGUGUGUGUGUGUGUUCACACGCACAUGGUAGGGGUGGGGUGAGUGUGGAGGUUGGUGGGCACACAGGCCUAGGGGCCUAAGGUGGAGGUGUGACCAGACUUUGGUUGUUGAGCUGGGGCAACUUGUGACAGAGGCCUCACCACACUCACGGAUCCCAGCCAGAACCCUUGGCUGGUGCUGGUCUAACCCAAGGAGGGGAUGUACCUGGGGGAGGGGUGCAUGCAGGGCAGGGGUGCAUGUCAGGGAGGGUACAGGACCCAAAUGCUGUCGGGGCCUCCAGGGAGCUGGGACCCCAGUGAAUCCUUGAGGGGAACUGACUCUGACUUGCCUCCUUUUAUUUAUUGUCCAUUUACAACAAUACUGCUAAUAAAUAACGUUAAUUGAAUCCCCUCACACAACACAUUCCUGCCCCUGUGUUACAAGUCAUAUGAGCGCAAUGAAAAAACUUGGAAAAUACAGAAAAACACAAAAA